rnacentral:rRNA from 1 species
AGUGAACGCUGGCGGUGUGCUUAACACAUGCAAGUCGAACGAGAACGGACUAAAGUUUACUUUAGUUGUCAGCUAAGUGGCGCACGGGUGAGUAAUCUAUAGCUAACCUACCCUAAAGAGGGGGAUAAUUAAUGGAAACGUUUUGUAAUACCCUAUACCUCUUAUCUACACAAGUGUAUAAGAGAAAACUUUAGUGCUUUAGGAUGGGGCUGUAUUGUAUCAGCUAGUUGGUGGUGUAAUGGACCACCAAGGCUAUGACGCAUAACUGGUUUGAGAGGAUGAUCAGUCACACUGGAACUGAGACACGGUCCAGACUCCGUACGGGGGAGGCAGCAGGUGGGGAAUAUUGCACAAGUACGGGGGAAACCCUGAUGCAGCAACACCGCGUGGAGGAAGACUACUUUUCGGAGCGUAACUCCUUUUAUACUCCCAAGAUAUGACGGUAGGAUAUGAAUAAG